GACGAACGCGGGCGGCGUGCUUAAUACAUGCAAGUAGGACGCACAGCCUAUACCGUAGCUUGCUACACCAUAGGCUGUGAGUUGCGAACGGGUGAGUAACGCGUAGGUAACCUGCCUAUUAGAGGGGGAUAACUAUUGGAAACGAUAGCUAAUACCGCAUAACAGUAUGUAACACAUGUUAGAUGCUUGAAAGAUGCAAUUGCAUCGCUAGUAGAUGGACCUGCGUUGUAUUAGCUAGCAGGUAGGGUAAUGGCCUACCUAGGCAACGAUACAUAGCCGACCUGAGAGGGUGAUCGGCCACACUGGGACUGAGACACGGCCCAGACUCCUACGGGAGGCAGCAGUAGGGAAUCUUCGGCAAUGGGGGGAACCCUGACCGAGCAACGCCGCGUGAGUGAAGAAGGUUUUCGGAUCGUAAAGCUCUGUUGUUAAGGAAGAACGAGUGUGAGAAUGGAAAGUUCAUACUGUGACGGACUAACCA
rnacentral:rRNA from 1 species